GGCUGGGUCCUAUGCAACAUCGAACCAGUGAACCCCGUCAGGCCCGGAAGGGAGCAGCGGCAACUAGGAUUCAUGUGUGCCGUAGGGUGCCUGGCCACU
rnacentral:SRP_RNA from 5 species